rnacentral:sRNA from 1 species
ACCUCUGAACCUGUAAGCCAGCCCCAGUUAGACGCUGUCCGUUUAAGAGUUGUCUUGGUCACGGUGUCUGUUCACACGAGACCGCCUGUUUUCUCACAGCUUUGCAACAGUGUGCAUUCCAAACAUCUGAGGUUUUGGUGUGUUGGUAGCUGAGAAAGGAUGUUUCAGCACAGCUUUAAUCUCCACUUCUCUUACUAUAAGUGAGGUUAAAUGUCUCUUCCUGUGUGCAGAGGGCUCCUGGGAGAGUCUCUCAUGAAUGCAGGCCAGCCUCACAUUCACUAUGCGAGAGGGAAUGGCCUUGGAUCCCUGGUUCUUCCACCUCUGUCUCCUGAGUGCUGGGACUAGAGGAAGAUAAAAAUGGAGGGGACACCGAGGGAAGGCUGCAGAAGACUCCAUGGAAACCUGUACAGGGGUGAUGAUUGCUGGACCAGGCCUCUCAGCUUGCCUUACAAGUGUGAAAGACAACAAUCUUCAUUCAGAAGAGUAUGAAAGGUGUUGACACAUCAUCGAGUUGGGAUGAUAAAGACAGGAAAAGGAUUGGAAUUUGGUGUGAAUUAACAUAUCACAGGACUCUCUUGCGCGCGUAAGAGGUGAGGAAACAAACAGAUGUGCUAAUUCCACUCCCACUGCAAAGGGGUGCUGUCAAGGCAUGUGGGCUGGUAUGGCCAAAUGCUGUUGAUUCCAAAAAUGUAAUUUCAUUUGAUGGAUUUCAUUGUAAUUAACACAGGGAGUUGCAUCAACUCAGAACUCUUAGCAUGGUGUCUUGGGAGAAGUUAUGAAAUUCAUGUACUUGCAAGAUAGGAUUCAUAUCCUGCCGAGGGCUUAUAAUGCUAAUAGGUCCUGGGGAAUCUUCUGGGAGUUUGUCUUCAGACUUCCAGCUAGAAUUUCUGCAUUGCCCAUGCAAGUGUGGCUACCUGGAGCAUGUUGUGUGGUGUUUGCCGGAACGUGGGAGCCACUCAGCUCAGGAACCCUGCACUCUUAGCCAUUGAGAAGCCCUGACCUCAUCACCAGAGGAACUGGAAGUUGCUUUCGUGAGCACACCUGGUUGUGUAAACCUGAUCGUGAUCACCUUGGACAUUUAGCAAUUUCCCAAAGCAUGUUUCUCAUGAGCACACUGACAUGUAGAGGGCUUGCAUGUAUUUUGAAAGUUUAAGCAAAGUCUUUUGAAAUUCAUCUGGAGGUCAGGUAAAUGUAUUUAAGUUAAAAAAAAAAAAGAGGACAAAAGUCUCCAAUAGAUGACAAGGAGAUACCCUUCCAUUUGGCAUCUCAGAAGCAGACCAGAGCUGCUAAGCCUCUAGGGUGGGACUUACCUACAGGUUGAGCUCAGCUCACAACCUGAAUACUGUAAAAGCGAUGUGUAUGCCCUUUCAAAUCUCUCCUUGGGAAACUAAUUAGCAGAAUAAUAAAAAGGCAAGACCAACUCUUGUCUUGCUUGUUGGGGAUAUAAAAAAAACAGUAGUUCUAAUUAGCAAUAAUUAAAAUUUAAUUAAGAAGCUCUUCACAAUCCACCUCCUCCUCCCCGGCUGGCGCUGGCCCGCUCUUGGUGGAGCUGUUUUUAUUCCCGUGGUGCUGAAUCACGGCUUAAUCAGAGGCCGCGGAUCACAGCUUAGCCAACCCGGGCUAAUCGCCACUCCCUCCUAAGAGGGGCAGACAUGUAGUCCAUAUUUUUAGAACACAGGCUAUUAUUUCCCUUAAUUUUAUGCUCAUGGUUAUGAUUCUUACCCCUCUUUAUCAGCUGAUUACAGAUUCCAUUGCCCCAGUCCGUCCCAGUACUGUCCCCCCCACCCCACCCCCGUUAACGUUAUAUCACUUCCAUUCAUUUCUACCCGUGCUGGGACAAGGAGACAAGGGGCACCUACCAAAAAUACAAGUAUUUGGACCCUACUUUCAAUUUUUGUGCUUUGGAGAACAGAAACCUAGCUUAGGACUAAAGACAAAGUCACUGGCAAAACCCUGAGUUUAAAAAAUGUUAAGGCUAUUAAAAAAAUAAAACAGUACAUUGCAGUUGAGAGUCAGAGAAAGGCAAUUCAGUAUUUAAUGUUUCUUAUAAGCUCAGAUGGAAUCUAAGUGUAAAUUUUAACUAGAAUAUUUCAGUUUGCAAAAAAAGGACUGGUCAUUUAUGUGGCUCUAACAGUAUAUCCUGUGUCCUGUGGAUUUUAUUGCAAUAGAAAAAUAAAUUUCAGGUCUGACUCUGUCCUAGUUUUGGGCAUGAAGAUUAAUCUCUUAGUUUACAGAGAGGAAAAACCAGGAAAGCCCAAACUCCAAUAUUCGAUAGUUCAUUAUGAGCAAAGAAAAAGGAAAUAAUCAAAAACAGAGGGAAAUUAGUUUUUUAAAAGCCACUAGACUAAGAAGCAUAACCCCGGCUCUUUAAUUAUUAAGGGAAGGUUCUGAAUCCGCUCCAUUAUCUUAAUUAUGUUUCUGGAGCAAACAUUAUCUCAAUGUGAUAAAAGAUGACAUGACACUGAAGGUAAGGCCGGCAGAUGUUACGUGGGUAACAAGCCAGGAGGCCCACAUUCUGGUAAUUUCUUGCCCACUAGACAUGUUCUCAUUAAUCUGUGAUUAAUAGGAUUUGAGUGUAGUAAAUGAUGAUGAUCUAUUGUCUGUCUUUGUGGAGCACCAUGGAGGAGUAAUUUGUCAGCUCUGCUUUUGUGUGACUAUUUAAUAGCAAAGAGGGAGAGAGAAAAGACGCUAAUCUUCUAAUUGGCAUCUAAAGAGAAGAACUAGAAUACUGUCUGUUUAGAAAUAGCCUGGUGUAAUUCCUAUGCCCGAAGAAGCAAAUGUGAGCUAUAUGUAUCCUUUAUGCCACCGUGCCUUGAAGAGCAAAAAAGAUGGGGCUGGUAAGAAAGAAAACAGCAAUAAAACAAUCCUUCGAGAUCACACGGUAACAGCCAUUAACCUAGUUAUGAGGCUUUGUCCGCGGUAAUGACUUGCUAAGGAAGGGGCUGAAGAAAGAAACUAUUUUUGGUUAAAAAAAAACUUAUCCAGAUGGACCCUUCCCUGCCACCAACACGCA